rnacentral:rRNA from 1 species
GGCGUAGGUGGCUUUGUAAGUCAGAAGUGAAAGCCCUGGGCUCAACCCGGGAAGUGCUUUUGAUACUGCGAAGCUUGAAUGUGGUAGAGGAUAGUAGAAUUCCAGGUGUAGUGGUGAAAUACGUAGAUAUCUGGAGGAAUACCUGUGGCGAAGGCGGCUAUCUGGACCAACAUUGACACUGAGGCCCGAAAGCGUGGGGAUCAAACA